rnacentral:rRNA from 1 species
AUUUGAUGUAUUAGGAAAAUAACUAUGUUAAAUUAUAGAUAACAAUAAUACAAUAAGAAUAAGAUCUAUCAGUUAGUUGUUAAGGUAAUGGCUUAACAAGACUAUGACGGAUAACGGUAUUACUUUGUAAUAUUCCGGAGAAGGAGCCUGAGAGAUUGCUACUAAGUCUAAGGAUUGCAGCAGGGGCGAAACUUGACCUAUGAUAUGAUAUUGAGGCAGUUAUGAGUAGUAUUUUUAAUUAUUGUAGUAUUGUAAGUAUAUACUACAAGAUAAAUCGGAGGGCAAAUCGAGUGCCAGCACCGCGGU